rnacentral:rRNA from 1 species
UACGGGGGGAGCAAGCGUUGUUCGGAUUUACUGGGCGUAAAGGGCGCGUAGGCGGUCGUGACAAGUCACUUGUGAAAUCUCCGGGCUUAACUCGGAACGGUCAAGUGAUACUGUCGGACUAGAGUACAGAAGGGGCAACUGGAAUUCUCGGUGUAGCGGUGAAAUGCGUAGAUAUCGAGAGGAACACCUGCGGCGAAGGCGGGUUGCUGGGCUGAUACUGACGCUGAGGCGCGAAAGCCAGGGGGAGCGAAACGGG